AAUGAACGUUGGCGGCAUGGAUUAGGCAUGCAAGUCGAGCGAGAAGAGUUUUGAAGCUUGCUUUAGAACUCGGACAGCGGCGAAAGGGAGAGUAACGCGUAGUUAUGUGCCCUAGGGUCCGGAAUAGCCACGGGAAACUGUGGGUAAUGCCGGAUAACAUCCCCGGAUCAAAGGUGUGAUUUCGCCCUAGGAGCAGACUGCGUCAUACUAGCUAGUUGGUGGGGUAAUGGCCCACCAAGGCAAUGAUGGGUAGCGGGUGUGAGAGCAUGACCCGUCUCACUGGGACUGAGACACUGCCCAGACACCUACGGGUGGCUGCAGUCGAGAAUCUUCGGCAAUGGGCGAAAGCCUGACCGAGCGAUGCCGCGUGCGGGAUGAAGGCCCUCGGGUUGUAAACCGCUGUCGUAGGGGAGGAAGGUUCCGUGAAGAGCGGAAUUUGACCUAUCCUAGGAGGAAGUACGGGCUAAGUUCGUGCCAGCCGCCGCCGUAA
rnacentral:rRNA from 1 species